rnacentral:lncRNA from 1 species
UUCAUAGCAUCAGAUAGAUUCCAUCGCAUGCACCUGCACACAUCCAGAGGCGCAUUCACAGAGCACUGCAUGGAGCUACGUGCACCGAUGGCUCGGGAGGCCCCCCUGCUGGUUUUGACUUAUGAUGUAGUUUUUGCCCUCGGGUGGAGGACACUUUGCAAAAGACACAGCCUCCAUCCCUGCACACCCAGCCACCACCACAAGGCUGGGAGGGUGGGGAACAGGGGGUCCUCAUUCUUUAUUCAUAGCCUCAUGAACUUCAGGGAGCACAGGCAGCAUUAACCCCAGGGGGGUUGCCCCUUCCUUCCUUCCUUCCUUCCUUCCUUCCUUCCUUCCUUCCUUCCUUCCUUCCUUCCUUCCUUCCACAAACAUAUUCAGAAAGUGUAUUUCAUGACUAGCACUGUGCCAGACACUGGAGAUAAUAAAGAAAAACAGCACUGGGCCUAUAAUUGGGAGUCUAGAUAUACGAUAUGGAAAUGCAGCUGACAAUGCAAGGAGCAAGAGGACUCGCACAGUGGUGCAUGGCAGCUUGCUGUCAUUUUCUGGGCACAGAAAGUGCGAUGGAAGGGAAUGAGAAGGGGAAAAAGGAAGGAUGACAGGACGGAAGGAGGGAAAGAAGGAAGAGGAAAAAAGAAAGGACAGGAGAAAGGGAGGAAGUCUUCUGCCAAAAAAUUAAAAUCAAAUUUUUGACAUUCUUUUUGUUUGCCUUUUUUGAAACAAAAUGACACUUGCCAGACACCAGCUUCCUGGCCCAUGUCCUGGUCCUUGGUAUCCAGAUGACAGCAGUGUGAUCCUGCUGUGAGUUCCUUCCGUGCCUUCUGAUCUGAGUUCCUGAAAGCAGAGAGCCACUCAGGAACUGCUGUCUCUCAGGCCAGCUGGCUGGUGAUGGGCUUUUGAAGACUCUGCUCUCUCUCCUGCUGGAAGAGCUCCCCAGGGGCCACCAGGAGCCAGGUGACCGCUCUCAGCCUCUGUGAGCUACUGGAGAUCACCAGACCUUCCCACAUCCCGGGCAGGUGCCAGGGCCUUUAAGGAGGCUUUCUGCUCUGCAGGGAUGUUCUGUGGGCUCCAGUAUUCUGGCGAGCAUCAGCUUAUUCUCGGCUUAGUCUUCUUGCUCUAUAGCUCCUGCCUCUGUUUUGCUUCUUUUUGGUGAUGCCCUGUUUCCACCUUAUGAAGAGGGCCUGUAAAAUCCAAGCUCUGCACAAACCCCCAGGGGUGGUUAGGGGCACUGGAGAAGGGCUGUGUGUCGACCACUUGGUUGGAUUUUACAUCCCUUGGACUUGAAUACUUAUAAUUUAAAUUUGAGUCUCUGUCAAUG